UGGGGAAUAUUGGACAAUGGGGGAAACCCUGAUCCAGCAAUGCCGCGUGAGUGUAGAAGGCCUUAGGGUUGUAAAGCUCUUUCGCCCGCGAAGAUAAUGACGGUAGCGGGAGAAGAAGCCCCGGCUAACUCCGUACCAGCAGCCGCGGUAAUACGGAGGGGGCUAGCGUUGUUCGGAAUUACUGGGCGUAAAGCGUACGUAGGCGGAUGCGCAAGUUGGGGGUGAAAUCCCGGGGCUUAACCUCGGAAUUGCCCUCAAAACUGCACGUCUUGAGACCGAGAGAGGUAAGGGGAAUUCCUAGUGUAGAGGUGAAAUUCGUAGAUAUUAGGAAGAACACCAGUGGCGAAGGCGCCUUACUGGCUCGGUACUGACGCUGAGGUACGAAAGCGUGGGGAGCAAACA
rnacentral:rRNA from 1 species